AUAGAUCCUCGUGGUAUGCACAAUCGGUUACUGAAGAACAAGUAUCCAUCCUGUCUAUAAAAUUUCUCACAGGCAAACUUAUGACAUUUGGCAUAGCUCUCAGAAAAAUCAGUAUCAGAUUCAUAAAGAUCUCUAAUGUAUUCAAAUCCAAUCAACUUUGAUGUUAAAGUCGAAAUAAGAGUGUACCUCCGGGAUAAUGCGUCUGCGAC
rnacentral:lncRNA from 1 species